UGAUGGUUAAUCUAAAUAAGACUACUGAUUUCGACUCAGUAAAUCUCAGAAUGCUCUGAGACCACCAA
rnacentral:tRNA from 1 species